rnacentral:pre_miRNA from 1 species
GAUGUACUCCCUCCGUUCGGAAAUACUUGUCAUCAAAAUGGAUGUAUCUAGAACUAAAAUACAUAUAGAUACAUCCAUUUCAAUGACAAGUAUUUCCGGACGGAAGGAGUANNNN